UACGUAGGCAGCAAGCGUUGUUCGGAAUUACUGGGCGUAAAGAGUGUGUAGGCGGUGUUCUAAGUGUGGUGUGAAAAUCUCCCGGCUCAACUGGGAGGGUGCGCCGCAGACUGGAAUGCUAGAGUAUGGGAGAGGUAAGCGGAAUUCCUGGUGUAGCGGUGAAAUGCGUAGAUAUCAGGAGGAACACCUGUGGUGUAGACAGCUUACUGGACCAUGACUGACGCUGAGACACGAAAGCGUGGGUAGCAAAACAGG
rnacentral:rRNA from 1 species